AUUGAACGCUGGCGGCAGGCCUAACACAUGCAAGUCGAGCGGAUGAAGGGAGCUUGCUCCUGGAUUCAGCGGCGGACGGGUGAGUAAUGCCUAGGAAUCUGCCUGGUAGUGGGGGAUAACGUCCGGAAACGGGCGCUAAUACCGCAUACGUCCUGAGGGAGAAAGUGGGGGAUCUUCGGACCUCACGCUAUCAGAUGAGCCUAGGUCGGAUUAGCUAGUUGGUGGGGUAAAGGCCUACCAAGGCGACGAUCCGUAACUGGUCUGAGAGGAUGAUCAGUCAAACUGGAACUGAGACACGGUCCAGACUCCUACGGGCGGCAGCAGUGGGAAAUAUUGGACAAUGGGCGAAAACCUGAUCCAGCCAUGCCGCGUGUGUGAAGAAGGUCUUCGGAUUUUAAAGCACUUUAAGUAGGGAGGAAGGGCAGUAAGUUAAUACCUUGCUGUUUUGACGUUACCAACAGAAUAAGCACCGGCUAACUUCGUG
rnacentral:rRNA from 1 species